CAAGUGAAGGGUUUGAUCCUGGCUCAGAACGAACGUUGGCGGCGUGGAUGAGGCAUGCAAGUCGAACGUGAAAG
rnacentral:rRNA from 1 species